rnacentral:rRNA from 1 species
GUCCCUACGGGGGGCAGCAGUGGGGGAUAUUGCACAAUGGGGGAAACCCUGAUGCAGCGACGCCGCGUGGGCGAAGAAGUAUUUCGGUAUGUAAAGCCCUAUCAGCAGGGAAGAAGAAAUGACGGUACCUGAGUAAGAAGCACCGGCUAAAUACGUGCCAGCAGCCGCGGUAAUACGUAGGGGGCAAGCGUUAUCCGGAUUUACUGGGUGUAAAGGGAGCGUAGACGGCGAUGCAAGUCUGAAGUGAAAGGCGGGGGCCCAACCCCCGGACUGCUUUGGAAACUGUAUGGCUGGAGUGCAGGAGG